AGCUUUUUCCCUAAAGGAAAUACCUUGGUUUGGUGUGGUGACUCAUUCCUGUAAUCCCAGUACUUUGGGAGGCUGAAGCCUGCUGAAGCAGGCAGAUCGCUUGAGCCCAGGAGUUCAAGACCAGCCUGGGAAACAUACUGAAACCCCGUCUCUACAAAAAAUACAAAAAUUAGCCGGGUGUGGUCGUGCAGCGCCUGUAAUCCCAGCUACUCAGGAGGUCAAGGUAGGAGAAUCACUUGAGCCUGGGAGCUCGAGGCUGUAGUGAGCCGAGAUCACGCCACUGCAUUCCAGCCUGGGUGACAGAGCAAGACCCUGUCUCAAAAAAAAAAAAAAAAAAAAAAAAAAAGGAAAUACCCAGGAUUGCUACAAAGAAAGCAGCUGCCAGAAAUUCGUUGGAUUUGAGGAGUCCAGAGCGCCGACCCGCUCUGUCUGCGUGGACUUAUUUCCUUGGAUCUUCGUGGACCCUGAAGUUGCCAAGUGUAUGUGCCUGCUCCAGAAAACAAAGGAAGCCACCAUUUUUUCUCAUUCACAGCGCAGGGAGAUACCUCA
rnacentral:sRNA from 1 species